CUUCACCGACCCCAGCCACAGCGGGCGUUCCUCGGACCGGCCCUGGCCGUAGGUGGCGAGCAGGGCCUGGGCCUC
rnacentral:antisense_RNA from 1 species